UACGUAGGGUGCAGGCGUUAAUCGGAAUUACUGGGCGUAAAGCGUGCGCAGGCGGUUUCUUAAGUCAGAUGUGAAAGCCCCGGGCUUAACCUGGGAACUGCAUUCGAGACUGCAUUGCUAGAGUAUGGGAGAGGGAAGUGGAAUUUCCGGUGUAGCGGUGAAAUGCGUAGAUAUCGGAAGGAACGCCGGUGGCGAAAGCGAUCGACUGGACCUUUUCUGACGCUGAGGCGCGAAAGCCAGGGGAGCAAACGGG
rnacentral:rRNA from 1 species